rnacentral:rRNA from 1 species
AACGAACGCUGGCGGCAUGCCUAACACAUGCCAGUCGAACGAGACCUUCGGGUCUAGUGGCGCACGGGUGCGUAACGCGUGGGAACCUGCCCUUAGGUUCGGAAUAACUCCCCGAAAGGGGUGCUAAUACCGGAUAAUGUCUUCGGACCAAAGAUUUAUCGCCUUUGGAUGGGCCCGCGUUGGAUUAGCUAGUUGGUAGGGUAAAAGCCUACCAAGGCGACGAUCCAUAGCUGGUCUGAGAGGAUGAUCAGCCACACUGGGACUGAGACACGGCCCAGACUCCUAUGGGAGGCAGCAGUGGGGAAUAUUGGACAAUGGGCGAAAGCCUGAUCCAGCAAUGCCGCGUGAGUGAUGAAGGCCUUAGGGUUGUAAAGCUCUUUUACCCGGGAUGAUAAUGACAGUACCGGGAGAAUAAGCUCCGGCUAACUCCGUG